GGGGUUGUGGCUCAGUGUCAGAGCGCUCACCUAACAUGUGUGAGGCACUGGGUUCAAUCCUCAGCACCA
rnacentral:tRNA from 1 species